rnacentral:lncRNA from 1 species
UCCCUCCGCCUCCGAGCUGUGGAUGUCCAGGGGCUGAGUGGUGCCAAAGCGACAAGCAAUCCGCUGCUCCGGGUUUUACGAGCAGCACGAGGAAGAGCCUGGACCGGGCUGGGGAAGCUGUCAGUGGAGGCGGUCUUCAGAACUUUGACAAUGCUCUUCAAUAUGAUGGACUUCAAUUGUAGCCUCUAGCAGUGAUGUUCUGGAAAGCCAUCGCUUCCCUUGGGCAAAGGGCAUCUAGUUCCCAAUUAACCGAAGCAGCUUGCAUCAGCUCAGAAACUCUGACCCUAUCAAAUGAAAUCCUCUUGCUCUCUCCCAAUGAGAGACAGCCCUGCAAUGUGUCCUCCCAACAGAGCAUGCUCUACCCAGGAAGCAGUCAAGGUCUUCACAGCCUCUGGAAAAUGCAACCAACAUUGAUGAGACGUUCCCACAGAAGCACUGCUCAGGCAGCAUCCGGGAGUGGGUCGGAAGAGAGACUGUGAUGCUUUCGAAAAUGUGGUGUCUCGGUGUCUGCUGUUUCUGUUAAUCCUGAAGAUGCUCACCCGUGAGACUGAAUCAGAAGCCUGUCCCUGCCCUCACUCAGAGGAUGAGUCACACGGUGUGGGCGAGGUUUGGAGAUGGAAGCCAGCUCUGCUCUCUCCGUUGGUAACCAAGGCAAAGGCAUCUUGCUGAGAGAAUGCUUGCAAGUGCAUAGAAAGCUAAUCCCACGGUCAGGCCUGUGAAUGUUGGUUACCACUGUUGGCUAUCCUUUGCUUAAGUUUAAGUCACGGCAUCUUCAGAAUCACAUAGUUCCAAGAUACCAAGGUACUCUGUCUUCUGGUCCACAUUCCUUUGUCAUUGAACAAUUGCAUACACUGAACAGGCUUUGGGUAAAUGAGGGAAGGACAGGGGACCAAGAGAGAAUUUGAGUGCUUGGGAAAUAGCAUUGAACAGUAAGUCAGAAGGUGAGGAGGCCUCUAGAGGUGUACCUUUAAAUUCCAGAUUUGUGUUUCACUGUGUAGGUUUUGGCAGGUUGUCAAAGGCAUUUGAGUUUCCCUCAUUUCCAAUAUACCUUAAAGUGUCUCUUUCAUGGAAAACACCUAGCACAGAGUAUCCGGGUUGCUCUCAGUGAUUGGCAAGUGACAUCUUUUUCUACUAUGUUAAAUGCUCACCAGAAAAAAAAAUGUUCUGAAGGUCCUGUCUUAUCAGAUCAGAGCCAUGUGGGCAGAGAAGGGGUCAGAGAAGGACAGAAAGAGCAUGAGAGACUGUCCAAGAGCACAUGGGAACACACACACACACACACACACACACACACACACACAGAGAGAGAGAGAGAGAGAGAGAGAGAGUGAGAGAGAGAGAAAGAGAGAGAGGGAGAGAGAAAGAGAGAGAGAGAGAGAGAGACAGAGAGAGACAGAGAGAGAGAGAGAGAUGGGGUGGUGACCAGUCCUUUUCUGUGCUAGGUCACUUGCACCCGGAAGUGGCAGAUAAUGGUGGCAGGUGAUGACUUAAGCUGUUGCUAGGUCCCUGGGAGGAGCCUGGUGGAAUCACCUAGAAGCCAACAGUAACGACGACACAGACAUGGGUGUAUUAUCCUCUCUUUGUUCAGUGUAAACUUUAUUUGCUAUGUGCUUUAAGCACACGACUUUUAAGUGUUUGCAAUAAAGGUAUACGUUAAGUG